rnacentral:tRNA from 1 species
AAAGCUUUAAUUAAAUAAUAAUAAUAUUUCUCUGUCAGAGAGAACUUGCCCCCAGCAAGCUUUA